rnacentral:rRNA from 1 species
CCUACGGGUGGCAGCAGUGGGGAAUAUUGCACAAUGGGGGAAACCCUGAUGCAGCGACGCCGCGUGAGCGAUGCCUUCUUUCGGUAUUUACAGCUCUAUCAGCAGGGAAGAAAAUGACGGUACCUGACAAAGAAGCCCCGGCUAACUACGUGCCAGCAGCCGCGGUAAUACGUAGGGGGCACGCGUUAUACGGAUUUACUGGGUGUAAAGGGAGCGGAGACGGGGAUGCAAGCCAGAUGUGGAAGCCCGGGGCUCACCCCAGGGAUUGCAUUUGGAACUGGAUAGCUGGAGUGUCGGAGAGGCAGGCGGAAUGCCUAGUGUAGCGGUGAACUGCGUAGAUAUUAGGAGGAACACCAGUGGCGAAGGCGGCCUGCUGGACGAUGACUGACGUUGAGGCUCGAAAGCGUGGAGAGCAAACAGGAUUAGAUACCCCUGUAGUC